rnacentral:lncRNA from 1 species
UUUUUUUUUCUUUUUUUCUUUUUUUUCUUUUUUUGGUCUUCUUAGGGCUGCACAUGCAGCAUAUGAAGUUCCCAGGUGAGGUGUCGAAUUGGAGCUGCAGCUGCUGGCCUACUCCACAUCUUAUGGCAAUGCUGGAUCCUUAACCCACUGAGNGAGGCCAGGGAUCAAACCCACACCCUCAUGGAUACUAGGUGAGUUUGUUAUUGCUCAGCCACAACAAGAACUCCCAGGACACUCUUAUUCCCAAUUUAUAGGCAAGGAAACCUGAGGAUAGAGUGGGUAAUUGAUUCAAUAAGGAUGCAGUCAGGGUCUUUCGAGUUUUGUCAUCUAGGCAGUGGGUGUCCUUUCUUCUUUACCUGACUUAACCUGUAUGAUUCUCCAACUAUGAUGAUGAAUUUUAUGUGUCAAUGUGACUGGACCAAGGGGUGCACCAAUUAAAUACUUCUGGGUGUGCCUGUGACAGUGUCUCUGGAUGAGAUCAAUUGUUAAAUGCGUGAGCUUGAUAAAGCAGACUGCCCUCCCCAGGGAGGGUGGGCAGUAUCCAGUAUGUUUAGGGUCUGAAUAAAACAAAAGAUGAAGAAAGGAGGAAUUUACCCCUUUUUGUUUCCUGUUUGCCUGCUUAGGCUGAGACAUCAGCCUUUUCCUGCACUUGCAAUGGGAUUUGCAGUAUCGACUCUCCCAACUCUCAGGCUAUCAUGUUUGGACUGGAAUUACACCACUGACAAUCCUGGGUGCCAGUUUGCAAAUAGCAGAUUAUAGGACUUCUCAGCCUCUAUAGUUACAUAAGCCAAUUCCUCAUAAUAAAUCCUUUCAUAUAAAUAUAUACUUCUAUUUCUUUGAUGAACCCUGAUAAUAAACCAACAUUUUGGGACUUUCGAGCUUUCUUUUGACUACCUUAAAUGCCUUCAAUAAGUAGACCAAAUUGUUUUUUCAAUAUAAAAGUCACAUGAAGUAACAUUUUUAAAGAUAUGUAUUAAAGCUUCCAGAUCUUAGGAAGACGGUGACUUAAUACUUGCUGACUCCUUCUUCAAAUUCAACCCUGGAGUAUGUGAAGAAGGAGGAGGGAAAUAUGAAUUUCUGAAGCUAAUAAAAAGCAUGUAAAUCUCAUAGGAGACAAAGAUAUUUUGAACUGGUAGAUGGGGAGUAUAUUACAUACGUUGACAAAAGGCUAGGAGAGGUAGCAGUGAGAAGGUAUUUUGGAGAAAAGCUUUUCACCUCAGCUCUUCGCUUUCCCCACAGUUAUCACCAGCCACUUGCCUGCAGAAAUACUUUUACAUUCCAGGUCAUGCAUGUUGGCAAUAAAAUAAGGCAGUGCAGGUAGAUACUAGGUAGGGAGAUACCAAAAGCAGAGGCAACCGACAAGGAACUCUUAAAAGACUACUGCUAGAACAUAGGGUGAUGCUAUGUACAUGAGGAAAAGGCACCCCUGCUGCCAGACAGGCACAGCCUCAUAUCGGAGUACACAGCUUAUGGGUGAAGGUAGAUGGCAGUGCCUGAUCCCCGUAUCUGGUAAGAAGGGGCUACUUGCUUAAUGAUGCGCAGCAGCCCUAGUCCUUUAGCAUCCUGAUCCCCACCCCUCCUCCAAAAUCAUAUGCCUGGGAGAAUUGUAAUAUUUUGAGAACAACCUAUCUCUUCUCCCCAAUAAUUCAAUUUAUAGGACAAACUCUGCCCAGGGGAGUCUCCCAGGGGAGAGGCAGUAAGAGGGGAGGACACAAAGUGAUUUUAGGGUGCCUGUGGCACUUAGGCCUUAGGGAUGAACAUACAUUAUUUGAAACACAUCUAAAUAGAUGGAAAAUAAAACUUAAUAUUUGGCCUUCCCUAGCAAGUAUUACCAUUAAGGUAGAAUAGCUAAUAGCCACAGUAGGGCAUGAGCUUACAAACCCAAAUAACUAGAAUCUAGCAAAGAAAGAUAAAAACAAGAUACCAUACACUAUCUGAACCAGAAUCAGUUGAACAAACAGAAGAGUAUAACAUUAAUAAAAGUAUACUUAAGGAGAUGUGGGAAGGUAUUAGCAAAGCAAAGCAAGGGGAAAAAAGCCAAGUGAGGAGUUCUCUUCUGGUGCAUCAGGUUAAGGAUCCAGCAUUGUCACUGCAAUGGCUCAGGUUGCUGCUGUGGCAAGUGUUCAGUCCCUAGCCCGNGAACUUCCACAUGCCUCAGAUAUGGCCAAGAAAGAAAAAGGAGAACCAAGUGCAACAUUAGAGAUGCAAAAAAAAUGUAGCUGAAAUGGAAUAAAUAAUAAGAUGGAAUAAAGCUGAAGAAAAAAUCAGUGAAUUAGAAGGUCAGAAUGAGAACUUCUUCAUAAAGCAAUAGGAAAGAAUAGAGAAAAGGUAAGAGAAAAAUUUUUAUACUAAGAAAUAUGAAGGAUCCAAGCAAAAGUACUAGCAUCCAGAGAACAGGAUUCCAGAGGAAUAGGGUAGGGAAAUGGAAAGGAGAAAAAUGUAAAGUAAUGAUGAAGACAAAUUUUUUAGGAUUAAGAAUGAUAGAAUUCUUCAAAAUGAAAAGGCUCUUAGAGGACCAAAUAGAACAGAUAAGAAAAAAUUCAUCUCCAUAGUAUAGUUAAAAUUAAAGAAUAUUAAAACUAAGAAAAAAUAUGUAAAGCUUCCAAAAUGGAAGGGUAUCUGUGGCAGAUAACAAAAAUCAGGCUAAUCCUAGAAUUUUCAAAAACACUAAAAGCAAGAUGAUAGUGUAACUUUUUUAAUAGAGAGUGCAAUAUAAUUUUCAAGAACCGAAGGCAAAAAGAGUUUCAAACAUAAAAUAUUACCAUUCAAAUACGAGGACAUGAUAAAAACAUUUUCAACCAUGUAAGACUUCAGGAGGUUGCACAUGCAAAAAAUCCUCACUAGGAGUUCCUGUCAUGGCUUAGCAGAAAACAAUCUGACUUGCAUUCUUGAAGAUAUAGGUUUAAUCCCUGGCCUUGCUCAGUGGGUUGGGGAUCCAGCGUUGCCAUGAGCUGUGGUAGAGGUCACAGAUGUGGCUCAGAUCCUGCAUUGCCAUGGCAUAGGCCAGCAACUACAGCUCUGAUUCAGUCCCUAGCCUGGAAGCCUCCCUAUGCCAGGGGUGCAGCCUUAAAAAGACCAAAAAAAAAAAAUCUUCACUAAAACCUUCUUGUAGGAUAUUCCAAUAAAAAAAAAGAUUUAUCCACAGAUGGAUUAAGAAGAUGUGGUAUAUGUAUACAAUGAAAUACUACUACUCGGCCAUAAGAAAGAAUGAAACAAUGUCAUUUGCAGCAACAUGCAACUAGACAUUCUCAUAAUAAGUGAAGUAAGUCAGAAAGACAAGUACCAUAUGCUAUAGUAAGUGGAAUCUAAACUACAGCACAAAUGAACUUAUCUACAAAACAGAAAUCAUCUCACAGACAUAGAGAACAGACCUGUGGUUGCCAAGGUGGGAGGGAGCGGGAUGGACUGGGAGUUUGGGGUUAGUGGAGGCAAACUAUUACAUUUAGAGCAGAUAAGCUGGACUUUCAGUGUGGCUCGCAGCAUGACUACUCAGUGUUGCUUCUAUAGAAUAAAUAAGCAAUGAAGUCCUUAUAGCAAAGGGAACUAUACCAAGUUUCUUGCGAUAGAGCACGAUGGAAGAUAAUAUAAGAAAGGGAAUGUAUCAAUGUAUAACUUUUCUGUACAUUAGAAAUUGGCACAACAUAGUACAUCAACUCUACUUUUAAAAAAUUAAUUAAAAAGAAGUAGAAAUGCUGCAAGAGAUAGGCCAAGUUAGCACAAUUAAGUAUAAUGGGGAGGGUGACAAGAAGACAGAGUAGAAAGCUCCUGGGCUCAUCUCUUUCCAGGGACACACCAAAACUACUCCAUGUGGAGCAAAUAUCUUUUAGAAUAACCUAAAGACCAGAAGAAAAGAUUUUACACAUCUAAGAAUAAAAAGACAAAUCCAUACCAAAACAGAUAGGAAGGCAGACACAUUCUGGCUGGGAUCCAUAACCCCAGCUCAGUGAUCCUUAUGUGGGAGAAGUAUCACAGCCACAGACGUCCUCUCUUGAGGAGCCAAAGGCUCAAACCCCACAUCAGGCUCCCCAGCCGAGAGGACCUGCACUGGAAGACAGAAUGGCUAUAGGAAACUGAAACUCCACUCUUCCAAUGAGUAACAUGCAAAAAGUCACACUUCAAGUCCCAGCACAGAGGCAGCAGUUUGAAAAGUUCCUGGGUCACAUUUAAAGAAAACUGACUCAUUUUAGGGCCUGUGCCAGAGGAGCAGGGGUCUGUUGAAACUUUCUUUGGGUACAGAGAAAUUGGCAGGUAUCUGUUAUUUUUGCUGAUCUUCUACCUAGCUGACCCAGCACUGGCAGAUGCCUUUUUUUUUAUCCUCCCCAUCCACUUUCCAAGCAUCACUAACCCACGUAGGGUUCCCCUGCAAGGCUGCACUAGCCAGUAUUCCUCUAAAGAGGUCCUCCACCCCCCAACUCCUGGUAGAUACUCUCAGGUGAAACCAGGGCACUGCCAAAGUGGCCUCUCUUCCCCAUCGCUCCUAUAAGGAACCAGAGCCCCUCCAAAGUGGCUUUUGCCCCAGAGACUGAACUAGCAUACCAGAGUAUCCAUAAGAGGUGCAGCCAUGCCUUACAGCCAGUAGCACAAGAGGCCAUGCCUAAACACUAACAUGCAUUCAGCAACUGCAACUAGGCCACAAGUAGUAGGAACAUGCAGGCCACACAGGGGACAUUUCUGAAAUACUUGCCUCUGGUUACCAAAAGGGACUGCACUACUGGGCCCCACAGGACACCUUCUACAUAAAGCCACUCCUACAAGAUGGGGAAAUGUAGCUGAUAUUCCUAAUACAUAGAGACAACACAGUAUUAGGCAAAAUUAGGAGACAAAGGAAUAUGUUCCAAGUGAAAGAACAAGAAAAGGUCAGGAAAAGAACUAAAUAAAACAGAGAUAAGCAAUCUACCAGAUAAAGAGUUUAAGAUAAUGGUCAUAAAAAUAUUCACCAAAGUCAGAAGAAUGGAAGAACACAGUGAAAAUUUCAACAAGGAGAUAGGAAAAAAAUCAGAGCUUAAGAGUAGAGUAAUGGGGAGUCCCCAUCAUGGCUCAAUGGAAAUGAAUCUGACUAGCAUCCAUGAGGAUGCAGGUUCAGUACCUGGCCUCACUCAGUGGGUUAAGGAUCUGGCAUUGCUGUGAGCUGUGGCAUAGGUUGCAGACACAGCUUGGAUCUGACAUUGCAGUGGCUGUGAGGUAGGCCAGCAGCUAUAGCUCUGAUUCAACCCCUAGCCUGGGAACCUCCAUAUGCCACAAGAACAGUGCCCAGUAAGAACAACAAGAAAGAAGAAAAAACAACAAUAAAAAAUGAAGAUCCUAUGAGAUGAC